rnacentral:rRNA from 1 species
CAAUAGCGUAUAUUUAAGUUGCUGCAGUUAAAAAGCUCGUAGUUGGAUUUCGGGUGGGAAUGGCCGGUCCGCCGUUUCGGUGUGCACUUGCUACGCCCACCUUGUUGCCGGGGACGUGCUCUUGAGUUCACGCUCGGGACACGGAGUCGGCGAGGUUACUUUGAGUAAAUUAGAGUGUUCAAAGCAGGCCUACGCUCUGAAUACAUUAGCAUGGAAUAACACGAUAGGACUCUGGCCUAUCUUGUUGGUCUGUAGGACCGGAGUAAUGAUUAAGAGGGACAGUCGGGGGCAUUCGUAUUUCAUUGUCAGAGGUGAAAUUCUUGGAUUUAUGAAAGACGAACUACUGCGAAAGCAUUUGCCAAGGAUGUUUUCAUUAA